rnacentral:rRNA from 1 species
CUUGUUUGAUCCUGGCUCAGGAUGAACGCUGGCGGCGCGCCUAACACAUGCAAGUCGAACGGCACCCAUCUUCGGAUGGAAGCGAGUGGCGAACGGCUGAGUAACACGUGGAGAACCUGCCCCCUCCCCCGGGAUAGCCGCCCGAAAGGACGGGUAAUACCGGAUACCCCGGGGUGCCGCAUGGCACCCCGGCUAAAGCCCCGACGGGAGGGGAUGGCUCCGCGGCCCAUCAGGUAGACGGCGGGGUGACGGCCCACCGUGCCGACAACGGGUAGCCGGGUUGAGAGACCGACCGGCCAGAUUGGGACUGAGACACGGCCCAGACUCCUACGGGAGGCAGCAGUGGGGAAUCUUGCGCAAUGGGGGGAACCCUGACGCAGCGACGCCGCGUGCGGGACGGAGGCCUUCGGGUCGUAAACCGCUUUCAGCAGGGAAGAGUCAAGACUGUACCUGCAGAAGAAGCCCCGGCUAACUACGUGCCAGCAGCCGCGGUAAUACGUAGGGGGCGAGCGUUAUCCGGAUUCAUUGGGCGUAAAGCGCGCGUAGGCGGCCCGGCAGGCCGGGGGUCGAAGCGGGGGGCUCAACCCCCCGAAGCCCCCGGAACCUCCGCGGCUUGGGUCCGGUAGGGGAGGGUGGAACACCCGGUGUAGCGGUGGAAUGCGCAGAUAUCGGGUGGAACACCGGUGGCGAAGGCGGCCCUCUGGGCCGAGACCGACGCUGAGGCGCGAAAGCUGGGGGAGCGAACAGGAUUAGAUACCCUGGUAGUCCCAGCCGUAAACGAUGGACGCUAGGUGUGGGGGGACGAUCCCCCCGGGCCGCAGCCAACGCAUUAAGCGUCCCGCCUGGGGAGUACGGCCGCAAGGCUAAAACU